rnacentral:antisense_RNA from 1 species
GCUUUCUCCCAGCUGGAGACUGGGUGAUAAGCGAAGUCCGUCAGGUUGCCGCCUGGCGGGCUUCAUUCAUUUAUAGGG